UAAUGGCUGCAACCUGAAUUGUGGGC
rnacentral:piRNA from 1 species